rnacentral:rRNA from 1 species
GACGAACGCGGCGGCGUGCUUAACACAUGCAAGUCGAACGCUGAAGCUCAGCUUUUGUUGGGUGGAUGAGUGGCGAACGGGUGAGUAACACGUGAGUAACCUGCCCCCUUCUUUGGGAUAACGCCCGGAAACGGGUGCUAAUACAGGAUAUUCACUGGCUUUCGCAUGGGGGUUGGUGGAAAGGUUUUUCUGGUGGGGGAUGGGCUCGCGGCCUAUCAGCUUGUUGGUGGGGUGAUGGCCUACCAAGGCUUUGACGGGUAGCCGGCCUGAGAGGGUGACCGGUCACAUUGGGACUGAGAUACGGCCCAGACUCCUACGGGAGGCAGCAGUGGGGAAUAUUGCACAAUGGGCGAAAGCCUGAUGCAGCGACGCCGCGUGAGGGAUGGAGGCCUUCGGGUUGUAAACCUCUUUCGCUCAUGGUCAAGCCGCAGCUUUGGGUUGUGGUGAGGGUAGUGGGUAAAGAAGCGCCGGCUAACUACGUGCCAGCAGCCGCGGUAAUACGUAGGGCGCGAGCGUUGUCCGGAAUUAUUGGGCGUAAAGGGCUUGUAGGCGGUUGGUCGCGUCUGCCGUGAAAUCCUCUGGCUUAACUGGGGGCGUGCGGUGGGUACGGGCUGACUUGAGUGCGGUAGGGGAGACUGGAACUCCUGGUGUAGCGGUGGAAUGCGCAGAUAUCAGGAAGAACACCGGUGGCGAAGGCGGGUCUCUGGGCCGUUACUGACGAUGAGGAGCGAAAGCGUGGGGAGCGAACAGG